rnacentral:rRNA from 1 species
UACGUAGGGUCCGAGCGUUGUCCGGAAUUAUUGGGCGUAAAGGGCUCGUAGGCGGUUCGUCACGUCGGGAGUGAAAACUCGGAGCUUAACUCCGAGCCUGCUUCCGAUACGGGCAGACUAGAGGUAGGCAGGGGAGAGUGGAAUUCCUGGUGUAGCGGUGAAAUGCGCAGAUAUCAGGAAGAACACCCGUGGCGAAGGCGGCUCUCUGGGACGGUACUGACGCUGAGACGCGAAAGCGUGGGGAGCGAACAGG